rnacentral:lncRNA from 1 species
UCUCUGGAAUAAAGCCCACUUGUUUACAGAGUAUAAUUCUUUUUAUAUAUUGCUGAAUUCUAUUUUUAAUGUUUUGUUAAUAAUUUGUGUAUCUAUACUUAUGAGAGAUAUUGGUGUAUAGUUUUCUUUUUAUGUACUGUAGUAGUCUGGUUUUGAUGUUAGGUUAAUAGUGACUUCAUAGAAUAAAUUGGGACCUUCUUUUCUAUUUUUUCUAUUUUUCUGAAAAAGAUUUUGUGAAAUUAAUGUUAGACUUCUUUAAAGGUUUGGUAGAAUUCUCCAGUGAGACCAUAUGGGUCUAGAGAUUUCUUUUUGAGAUUUUAAGCUAUCAAUUAAGUUUCUUUAAUAGUUAUAGGACUAUUCAAAUUACCCAUUUCAUAUGGAGUGUGUUGUCACAGUUUAUACUCUUUCAGAGAAUUGGUCUGCUUCACUGAAGUUGUCAAGUCUAUGUGUGUAGAGUUGUUUGUAGUAGUCCUUUAUUAUCCUUUUCAUGUCUGCAGGGUCUGUAAUGGUAUCUUCAGUUUAAUUCCUGAUAUUUGUAAUUUGUGACUUUUGUCUUUUUAUUUAUUUGUCAACAUUUCCAGAGAUUUACUGAUCUUUUAAAAGGGAAAGCUUUUUGUUUCACUGAUUUUUUCUAUUGUUUUUCUUUCUUCAAUUUCAUUAACUUUCUGCUUCUAUCUUUAUUACUUCCUCCCUUCUGCUUGCUUUGGGUAAACUUUUCUCUUUUUUUCUAGUUUCUUGAAGUAGGAGUUUAGAUUAUUGAUUUGAGAUUCUUCAACAUGAUCCCAUAGUUCCACAUCUAACGUUCCCUUUUCAGGAAACCAAGGACAGUGUUCUUCCACUGCCCUGAAUAGGGUGAAUAUAGCAGAGAUGGCAUAAUGUUUAGACUCCGUGUGCCCCAUAGCUACCCUGGACAAUACACAGACAACUCACCAAUCGUCAGGGAGCCGAACAAGCGUUUCUGUGGACAGAACGGAUGAACGUUUCUACGCACCUACCAAAGGGAAUCGGGUUUCCACAUGCCCUUAGGAAAAAGAAAACCAUGUUGGCACACCAGAUAUUGGGGGAACCCGCCCCCAAUAUUUCAACAUACAUUCUUUCUAUUUUCCGUAAGUGUCAGCUGGCUGAGAAAUAAAGAGAGACAGUACAAAGAGGAAUUUUACAGCUGGGCCGCCAGGGGUGACAUCACAUAUCGGUAGGACCGUGCUGCCGGCCUGAGUCACAGAUCAGCAAGUUUUUAUUAAGGGUUUCAAAAGGGGAGGGGGUGUGAGAACAGGGAGUAGGUACAAAGAUCACAUGCUGCAAAGGGCAAAAAGCAGAACCACUAAUAAGGGUCUAACAAAACCUAAGUGUCCAUCAACAGAUGAAUAAAGAAAAUGUGGUGCAUAUACACAAUGGAGUACUAUUCAGCCACAAAAAGAAUGAGAUCCUGUCAUUUGCAACAACAUGGAAGAAAAUGGAGGCCUUAAGUGAAAUAAGCCAGGCA